UCGUGUCGUGAGAUGUUGGGUUAAGUCCGCAACGAGCGCAACCCUCGACCUUAGUUGCCAGCAUUCAGUUGGGCGACUCUAAGGUGACUGCCGGUGACAAACCGGAGGAAGGUGGGGAUGACGUCAAGUCAUCAUAGCCCUUACGGCCUGGGCUACACACGUGCUACAAUGGUCGGUACAAAGGGUUGCCAAGCCGCGAGGUGGAGCUAAUCCCAUAAAACCGAUCGUAGUCCGGAUCGCAGUCUGCAACUCGACUGCGUGAAGUCGGAAUCGCUAGUAAUCGUGAAUCAGAAUGUCACGGUGAAUACGUUCCCGGGCCUU
rnacentral:rRNA from 1 species